AUUGAACGCUGGCGGAAUGCUUUACACAUGCAAGUCGAACGGCAGCACGGACUUCGGUCUGGUGGCGAGUGGCGAACGGGUGAGUAAUAUAUCGGAACGUGCCCAGUCGUGGGGGAUAACGUAGUGAAAUUACGCUAAUACCGCAUACGAUCUAAGGAUGAAAGCGGGGGAUCGCAAGACCUCGCGCGAUUGGAGCGGCCGAUAUCAGAUUAGGUAGUUGGUGGGGUAAAGGCUCACCAAGCCAACGAUCUGUAGCUGGUCUGAGAGGACGACCAGCCACACUGGAACUGAGACACGGUCCAGACUCCUACGGGAGGCAGCAGUGGGGGAAUUUUUGGACAAUGGACGAAAGUCUGAUCCAGCCAUUCCGCGUGCAGGAUGAAGGCCCUCGGGUUGUAAACUGCUUUUGUACGGAACGAAAAGGUUUCUCUUAAUACGAGGAGCUCAUGACGGUACCGUAAGAAUAAGCACCGGCUAACUACGUG
rnacentral:rRNA from 1 species